AGUUUUAGUUUUAGUUUUAGUUUUAGUUUUAAUUAGAAUAAAUUAGAAAAUUAGAAAAUAGAAUCUGAUGGAUGUGCCUUUCUCAUCCAAACUUUGGCCUUCCUUUUGUAAAAUGAAGUUUGUAACUAUCUAUCGAUUUUCUACAAAAAU
rnacentral:ribozyme from 14 species